CGAACGGGUGAGUAAUACAUAAGUAACCUGCCCUAGACAGGGGGAUAACUAUUGGAAACGAUAGCUAAGACCGCAUAGGUACGGACACUGCAUGGUGACCGUAUUAAAAGUGCCUCAAAGCACUGGUAGAGGAUGGACUUAUGGCGCAUUAGCUGGUUGGCGGGGUAACGGCCCACCAAGGCGACGAUGCGUAGCCGACCUGAGAGGGUGACCGGCCACACUGGGACUGAGACACGGUCCAGACUCCUACGGGAGGCAGCAUG
rnacentral:rRNA from 1 species